rnacentral:rRNA from 1 species
GCAGCAGCCGCGGUAACACGUAGGUGGCAAGCGUUGUCCGGAAUUAUUGGGCGUAAAGGGCUCGCAGGCGGUUUCUUAAGUCUGAUGUGAAAGCCCCCGGCUCAACCGGGGAGGGUCAUUGGAAACUGGGAAACUUGAGUGCAGAAGAGGAGAGUGGAAUUCCACGUGUAGCGGUGAAAUGCGUAGAGAUGUGGAGGAACACCAGUGGCGAAGGCGACUCUCUCGUCUGUAACUGACGCUGAGGAGCGAAAGCGUGGGGAGCGAACAGGAUUAGAUACCCGGGUAGUCCCUGUCUCUUAUAC